UGAUCCUGGCUCAGGAUGAACGCUAGCUACAGGCUUAACACAUGCAAGUCGAGGGGCAGCGGGAUUGAAGCUUGCUUCAAUUGCCGGCGACCGGCGCACGGGUGAGUAACGCGUAUCCAACCUUCCGUACACUCAGGGAUAGCCUUUCGAAAGAAAGAUUAAUACCUGAUGGUACGAUGAGAUUGCAUGAUAGCAUCCUUAAAGAUUUAUCGGUGUACGAUGGGGAUGCGUUCCAUUAGGUAGUAGGCGGGGUAACGGCCCACCUAGCCAACGAUGGAUAGGGGUUCUGAGAGGAAGGUCCCCCACAUUGGAACUGAGACACGGUCCAAACUCCUACGGGAGGCAGCAGUGAGGAAUAUUGGUCAAUGGACGAGAGUCUGAACCAGCCAAGUAGCGUGAAGGAUGAAGGUCCUACGGAUUGUAAACUUCUUUUAUAAGGGAAUAAACCCUCCCACGUGUGGGAGCUUGUAUGUACCUUAUGAAUAAGCAUCGGCUAACUCCGUGCCAGCAGCCGCGGUAAUACGGAGGAUGCGAGCGUUAUCCGGAUUUAUUGGGUUUAAAGGGAGCGCAGACGGGUCGUUAAGUCAGCUGUGAAAGUUUGGGGCUCAACCUUAAAAUUGCAGUUGAUACUGGCGUCCUUGAGUGCGGUUGAGGUGUGCGGAAUUCGUGGUGUAGCGGUGAAAUGCUUAGAUAUCACGAAGAACUCCGAUUGCGAAGGCAGCACACUAAUCCGUAACUGACGUUCAUGCUCGAAAGUGUGGGUAUCAAACAGGAUUAGAUACCCUGGUAGUCCACACGGUAAACGAUGGAUACUCGCUGUUGGCGAUAUACUGUCAGCGGCUUAGCGAAAGCGUUAAGUAUCCCACCUGGGGAGUACGCCGGCAACGGUGCAACUCAAAUGAAUUGACGGA
rnacentral:rRNA from 2 species